GGAGAGGCCAUGCUCCAGAUGAUCUCUUCUGGGAGGCUAGAGGAGAUGGAAGAGGCUUGGGCUUUGCAAGAGCGUGCACUAGCCAAACAGGGAAGAGCUGAGGAGGAAUGUACUGAAUGAAGCCAGGCUUCAAACAGAAUUCAGGAGCAGGAGCAAAGUCAGUGUCCUUUCUCACAGCAUCUCAUCUGAAAUGCCGUGGAAGUUUCUGCAGAACAUGUGUAAGGAAGUAAAUGACAGCUUUGAAUAAUUUAUCCUGGAAUG